GGCAACCCCAGAGCUGGCAUUUGAUUGAUGUUUACACUGCAAUAAACACCCUCCUGUUUAUUUCUGCCCUCAGCACCUCACCUGGGUUUGUAGGGAGCUUCAUGUUCCUGAAGUGCUUUGGCAAAAGUGGAGGGAGAAGUGGAGAUAGUUCUGGUUUUGUUUUAAAAAGAAACACCCUGAAAGGCGCAUUAUUUAUAUAUUUUAUUUUAUUUCUAGGAGAAGAUGAUGAGGGAUGUGUAAACUACUCUGGAAGAUCAUCCCAGGAAAGGAACUAAAGGAGCCAGAAAUUAGGGAGGAGGAGGACAUCAGGAAGUCUCCUAAUCCUUGCUGCCUUGCCAAAUGAUGGAAAUGUGAAAGCUGCCAGAAAGAACAGGGAUGAAAAGUGAUACUCCUCCAGUUUGUCUCUCUGAUGCUGCAACCUGGAGACAAGUCAUUUCUGCAGCAAGGCUGUGCAAACAUCAUGUGUUCCUGUGUGGAAAGCAGGGGAGACGGCCAGGAGCAACAGGACAUGGUGAGGAACAUCCGGGAUCAGCUCCUGACUCCCUUGUUUUAUUUUCUCUUGGGUUCUGCCUUGUUCCAUUCCAGAAGCUGUUUCCAGGGACUGGGAUCAGCCCGGUUGGAGGUGCAGAAAAUGAACCCAGCAGCCAGCUCUGCUCAGUGACUCAGAAUCUCUGCUGCCAUCUUCAGUAAGAGGAAAGCCUGAGCCUCUGAUAGACCCAUCCCUGCUUGAGCAAGGUUUUUAAAGUGGAUUCUGUUCAUUUGGCCAUGCCAAGCUGUGUUCAGAGUUUUGGAAAGGUUUCCAUGCUCACCAGGGGUAUCCAUGGCUGAUGCUGAGUGUCCUUGAGCUGCUGAAAGUUGAGAACAAAUGAAGCAAAAUGGUUUUUGUAUUACCAGCAGGAUUUUAUGUAUGCUGUGGGUAGAUUUAAUUGGGAGAGAUUCUGUUCAGAAUGAUGGUAAAUCCAGGAUAACCCUGCCUUAGGUCAGCUGGUUUCAAUGCUGCUGCUGUAGAUCGACAUGCAUAGAAGAGAGGAGAUUUCCACCCUAAAUUGUGGGUAUUUCUUACUGGGAUAAAUUAUCCAGUUUAUCUGAUUGUCUGCAGAUUAUCACAAUGUCAGUGGAUCUGCCUGCUAUGAGAACAUGGAUAAAUCAUUUUUGAAGGUGUGGACUUCAUAAUUUAAUUUCUCUAUCUUGCCUAAACAAGUACUGCAUUCUCUGAAAGCCCCUUAUCCCUAUUGCUCUUAUCUGGGAUUUAUUUUUCAAGGAAAGAUUAGAUUAAAUUUCUGUAAAAAUAUUCAAUAUACUUGAUCAGCAGCGUGGGAUUUAGCAAUGCAUUGGUGUGUCACCUGCUGUGCACACAGAAAAUGUUGGCUAUUUUCUUACUGUCUUGAUCUAAACUCAUGAAUAUACAACUGGAACAUACAUUUGGGGAAGAAAUGUAUCCACCCUCCUUUAGAAUGACAUGAAAAUCACAAGUUCAAUUUAAGGUACAAAUUGGAAUUGUUUCUUGGCUUGAAGUGCUUAAGCAAUAUUAGGAACUUUUGCCUAAUCUCUGUUUUACAGAUUAAAACACAAAUAUUUCCAGUGCAACCAGAAUUUAUUAAAGCAGGCUAUUGCCUAGGGAAAUAUGUCUUUGGAUGUGUUUCUAUCAGCUCUCCUGGAAAAAAAAAAUGAAUGCAAUUAGCAUUGCAUA
ensembl:lncRNA